rnacentral:lncRNA from 1 species
AUGUUGCCGUUAGAGCCAUUAUUCUACAUGAAGUUACAGAAUCUUCCAAAUCUAAGUGGAAUCAUCAGUCACCAUCAUUCACAUGGCCGUUACUCGCUCCAGUCUCGCUGGACAAAGGGGCCCUCAGAGGACUGCAACCCAAUUCUGCAUGGGCUUCCAGAUCUCUGCCAAGAGAACCUGGUUUGCCGCGGCCAGGUGUCAGAGCACUUCACAAAUGAUGCAAUUUUUGAAAAGUUUCUAUGA